AUGGCCUGGAUUUUGUCCAAAGC
rnacentral:miRNA from 2 species